rnacentral:rRNA from 1 species
AUUGAACGCUGGCGGCAUGCCUUACACAUGCAAGUCGAACGGCAGCGCGGACUUCGGUCUGGCGGCGAGUGGCGAACGGGUGAGUAAUACAUCGGAACGUACCCUGUUGUGGGGGAUAACUAGUCGAAAGAUUAGCUAAUACCGCAUACGACCUGAGGGUGAAAGUGGGGGACCGCAAGGCCUCACGCAGCAGGAGCGGCCGAUGUCUGAUUAGCUAGUUGGUGGGGUAAAGGCCCACCAAGGCGACGAUCAGUAGCUGGUCUGUGAGGACGAUCAGCCACACUGGGACUGAGACACGGCCCAGACUCCUACGGGAGGCAGCAGUGGGGAAUUUUGGACAAUGGGGGCAACCCUGAUCCAGCAAUGCCGCGUGUGUGAAGAAGGCCUUCGGGUUGUAAAGCACUUUUGUCCGGAAAGAAAUCGCGCUGGUUAAUACCUGGCGUGGAUGACGGUACCGGAAGAAUAAGCACCGGCUAACUACGUG